rnacentral:lncRNA from 1 species
AAACUUUGAAAACUGAGUUUUUGAUUAUUUUAUUAAUUUAAACUCAUUCUAAUGCCUUCCAAACAUAUAUAAACAUUCAUAAAUAACUAUCAACAUUAUUUAAACUUACCGAGCAUUGUGGAUUCAUAUUUUGAGUCUUCGAGUUUUCGAUCUUCGUCUCUUCUUCUUUAAACCUUCAAGACUCCGACUUACUUCACGAAAUAUUCCAACUUAAAAUCCGUAACAAUCUCCCUCUUUAGCAAUUUCAUGACAAAACUCAAAAUUACAUCAAAAUACUCACAAUGCUCAACUCUCCAAAACUCAAAAUUGAAAUUCAUUGCCAUCACCAAAACAAUGAACUUCUCGCGUGAAAGAUCCAAAGAAAAUACAAAAUUACAAUUUUGCAACUUCUAAACAAACUCUAUGACUUAGACAUAAGGAGUCUUGAAGUCUUCAAUGAUCUGCAAAAAUAUUACUUUCUCCACGAACAAAGUUAGUAAUAAAUUUUUAAAAUCUCUCCCCCUUUGUUCAUGUGUCAAUUUCAAUUUCUCUCUCCUUUUCUUUUCAAAAACUCAUCUCUUUCUCCCCUUUUUUGUCAAAAAUUGCCAAAAAAAAUUACCCAAAUUAAGAGAGUUUAAAACAUGAUGAUUGCAUUGUGAAAAUUGUUUAGGAUUUUGUAUUGGCAAGUUUCGUGAAGUAAGUCGGAGUCGUGAAAGAUCGAAGCGGAUUGACAAAGAUCGAAGAAU